rnacentral:rRNA from 1 species
UAAGGAGUUUUCGGCAAUGGGGGAAACCCUGACCGAGCAACGCCGCGUGAGUGCUAAGGUCUUCGGAUUGUAAAGCUCUGUUGUAAGGGACGAAUGGCAGGGAGAGGAAAUGCUCUCUGUUUGACGGUACCUUAUUAGAAAGCCACGGCUAACUACGUGCCAGCAGCCGCGGUAAUACGUAGGUGGCAAGCGUUAUCCGGAAUUAUUGGGCGUAAAGAGUGAGCAGGCGGUACGGUAAGUUUGAAGUAAAAUCGUGGGGCUCAACCCCAUCCAGCUUCAAAAACUGCCGAACUAGAGUGCGAGAGAGGUAAGCGGAACUCCAUGUGUAGCGGUGAAAUGCGUAGAUAUAUGGAAGAACACCAGUGGCGAAGGCGGCUUACUAGCUCGAUACUGACGCUCAGUCACGAAAGCGUGGGGAGCAAAUAGG